rnacentral:rRNA from 1 species
UACGAAGGGUGCAAGCGUUACUCGGAAUUACUGGGCGUAAAGCGUGCGUAGGUGGUGAGUUAAGUCUGUCGUGAAAGCCCCGGGCUCAACCUGGGAAUGGCGAUGGAUACUGGCUCGCUAGAGUGCGGUAGAGGGUGGUGGAAUUCCCGGUGUAGCAGUGAAAUGCGUAGAGAUGUGGAGGAACACCGAUGGCGAAGGCAGCCCCCUGGGCUGAGAUUGACGCUCAGGCACGAAAGCGUGGGGAGCAAACAGG